UACGGAGGGAGCUAGCGUUAAUCGGAAUUACUGGGCGUAAAGCGUGCGCAGGCGGUUUUGUAAGUCUGACGUGAAAUCCCCGGGCUCAACCUGGGAAUUGCGUUGGAGACUGCAAGGCUAGAAUCUGGCAGAGGGGGGUAGAAUUCCACGUGUAGCAGUGAAAUGCGUAGAGAUGUGGAGGAACACCGAUGGCGAAGGCAGCCCCCUGGGUCAAGAUUGACGCUCAUGCACGAAAGCGUGGGGAGCAAACAGG
rnacentral:rRNA from 1 species